rnacentral:lncRNA from 1 species
UCCAAAAAUUCUCCAAAACCUAGAGACAACACUUCAUUUCCCCUCUUCUUCAUCUUUAAACUAACCCGAGUCACCAAUAUUCCUAAACCACCUUUGGUUGGCGGCCACCACACUAAACCACCCCAAACCCUUCACCCCACAAUCUCCAUUUCCUCCUCAUCCUAUAUCCUCUGUUAAUCUUCUCCAAAGCACCUUAAAAUUGCCUGAUUUUAAAAUCUAAAAUGGCUAUUGACAAGCAAGACUUUCGCAAACCGGUCCUCUAGCUUUCUUUAAACUAAAACCUUUUACUCUUCAUGGAUUUCUGACUUGCGAGGUAUUUGCCAGACGAAGCAUCGAAAAAAUACUCGUUCGCCAAAAAUGCUAGGCAAAUUGAAGAAGUGGAUUCAAGAAGCUUCUUGUCUUAAUUUCUGGUUUGAUUUUUAGACGUCCUCUCCUCUUUUGGAAUGUUUGGUUCUAGUAGGUAAUCUUUUAUUUUACCUUUUCUAACUUUCUCUAUUUAUUUACAAUUCAACAAUUUAGUUCUAUUUUUUAGUUUUGCAUGUGUUCGAGUUGCUUUAGAUAUUGCCUUAAAAAAGCAUUUAAUUCUUUUUUAUUUGUUGCGUGGAUUUCCAAAUUCAUGGUUCAUUUUUUUAAAGAAAAAAGCAAUUGAUAGGUUGUGGACUCUAGACUGAGCUAGUCCAAUCCGGUGUAGGUUUAAAAGCUAACUACUGGAAGCCCACUGCAGAAAGUUAAUAAAAACAAACAAAAGGAAUUUGUAAUUAUCUGGAGUUUAGAGGGUAUUGAGGGAUUUUAACUUGACAAACCUUUUCAGUUACAACAAUAAUAAGCUUCUAGAGGAAAGAAAAGGGUUGUCUCUGUAAAAAGAAACAAAAAACGGCUCUAUUUUGGGGACCUAGGAGUCAAACACAAAAUUUUAAAGGGUAGGAAUGAAUUAGGAAAAUCAAGUAUUGUUGCCCUAAAUUCCUGCUAUAAAAGUCUCGUUCACUCAUUUGUUUAGAGAUCUUGGACAUAAAAGUCACGGUUGCUAGAAAUUAGGUUUUCUUUGAAAUAUAAAGUUCAAUAGUGGUUUAAAACAGUCAAAAUCAGAGAUAUAGUCAAAUAAAUAAAGAAAGAUUAAAAGCUGGUACUAAUCUAUUGGGAUUCUUGCAUAAUUUCUGGGUUAAAAAGCUGGUGUGAUUUGAGAAAAUUUUUUGGUUCCAUUGCUGCUUAUGCUAUGUUGUUUAAGCUUGGUUGAGCUCCAGAUUUUAUUAUUUUGACCUUUAUUUGGUCUUCUUUCUGCUAUUCUUCUUUUUUCUUCCUUGAGGUAUGUGACUGCACUUUUAUAUUUAUCUAUUGAAUAAAAUUUCUUGUUUAAUCCAUGUUUGAAUAUAUGUAUUUGUUUGUGAUAAGUAUUAGAUUUUGACUACAUGUGUUAGUUUUUCCAUAUUUGUUCCCAUAUGUCCUAAAUUAUUGUUUUUUAUUGUUUAUGCCAUAAUUUGGUUUGAUCCAGUAUGUUGUUCAUAAUUCUUUGUUUCUUAGUCUUCGAUGUUAUUCAUAGUGAUGUUGUCUUUGCUGAGUGAUAUAUAUUUGAGAGAUGAUAUUUUAGGUUGAAGCGAUACAAAGGACGUAAAUCUGACUACCAAUUGGUCAGAUUCACUCCUGAAAAGCAUGAGUGCAAUUAAUUUUGGCUACAAAAGGUUGAAGUGUGUUGGUUCUAGUGCUAGAAGUAGCAUCUAAUUCUAUGGUUGAUUAAGAAUAAAUCAAAGUUGAAGGUUGUAAUGGAUAAAGUCGUGUUUUGUUGAUGUAAUUGGAUAUAUUUUGUUUAAGCUAUGAUUGUAAUGACCCGACCGGUCAUUUUGAGUUUUUACACCUGGCUCGUCAAUUCUCAGGCAUGACUUGCCCGUAUGAUGUAUUAUGACUUGUGUAAAUUGUUGGUUUUGAUUUUCAGGAUAAUCGAAAUCAAUUUGGAAGAACAUGUCUCAGUUUGAAGCUUGAAAUUUGAAAAGUUUGACAAAGAUUUGACUUGUUAGUAUAUGAUAUCUAAUCGGAAAUUUUAUGAUGUGGUUAGCUCCGUUAGGUGAUUUGGACUUAGGAGCGUGAUCGGAAUGCAUUUUAGAAGUAUGUGGAAGAUUUAGGCUUGAAUUGGCAAAAUUGAGAUUUUGGCGUUUUUCGUUUGAUAGGCGAGAUUUUAAUACAGGGGUCGGAAUGGAAUUCCGGAAAUUACAGUAGCUCCGUUCUGUCAUUUGUGACGCAUGUGCAAAAUUUCUAGAUAAGUUGAGUUGAGAUCCCGUUAUUUUGGGUCAAUUUCAUGGGUUGCAUUUAGGUUGCUUAAUGGGUCAAAUAGACUAUAAAAAAUAAUGUAUUAACUUGGGUUCAACCAAAAUAGAUCACUAAAAAUUGCACGGAGUGACCUACUUGGUCGUCCCAUUUGACUAUAUCUUUUUUUAAAAAGUUUUAACCUGCACCCCACUUUUUAAAUAAAUUCAAAUAUCUUUCCCCCUUCUCCUCCUCCUUCUCAUUCUUCUUUGAGUGACAAUGGUUUUAUAUUGUGGUUGUAAAUAUAUUUAAUGUAGUUUAUGAUAUUUUACAGUGAUGAGCUGAUAUGACAUUUUAUUUUAUAUGAUUUCUUAGGUUUCUUCUUCUUUUUUUCUUAAUUGUAAAAUGGAUUCAUUAGAUUUAUUAUUCUUUUAAUAAAGUAACUAGU